rnacentral:tRNA from 1 species
AGAACAGUAAGCUAAAUAAGCUAAUGGGUUCAUACCCCAUUUAUAGAGUCCCCUCUCUUUUCUA